GGGCAGUGCCUGGGCGGCAGGGUGAGAACCUACAGGUUCGAAAGGUGAGCGGAGCGAACCUAACAGCGGCGCAGCCGCUGGCCCCGAAGGGGCGGAGGGCGCAACCCGGAGUCAUCCUACCGCCCCAGCCA
rnacentral:sRNA from 1 species